rnacentral:rRNA from 1 species
GUCGGUAUCUGGAGCGACGUGGUACCACCUCUUCCCCUUCCGAACAGAGAAGUGAAACGCGUCAGCGCCUACGAUACUGGGACUAGUUUCCUGGGACAAUGGGUCGAUGCCGAUG